rnacentral:rRNA from 1 species
AGAAUCAACGCUGGCGGCGUGCCUAACACAUGCAAGUCGAACGCGAAAGUUCCGCAAGGAAUUAGUAGAGUGGCAAACGGGUGAGUAACACGUGGGUGACCUGCCUUCGAGUGGGGGAUAACUUCCCGAAAGGGGCGCUAAUACCGCAUAAUAUCCUGCCUUUUAAGAGGUGGAAAUCAAAGCCGGGGAUCGCAAGACCUGGCGCUUGAAGAGGGGCCCGCGUCCGAUUAGCUAGUUGGUGGGGUAACGGCUCACCAAGGCAACGAUCGGUAGCCGGCCUAAGAGGGCGACGGCCACACUGGGACUGAGACACGGCCCAGACUCCUACGGGAGGCAGCAGUGGGAAUGUUCGCAAUGGGCGAAAGCCUGACGACGCAACGCCGCGUGGAGGAUGAAGACCUUCGGGUCGUAAACUCUUCGAUCGAGACGAAUGACCCCUGGUCAAUAACCGUGGGAGUGACGGUACCGAGAGAAGAAGCCCCGGACUAACUCCGUGCCAGCAGCCGC